AAACAAAGAACAAGCUGUUUGUGCAUAUGCAAGAGUAAUGCACGCCAAGUCAUAGCCCACCCCGGGGCGUGUCUAUGAGAUCACGGGUAAGCGACCAGUCAGGCGUAGACACGCCACGCCAGGGUGUAUAUAAGCAGCACCUUUCUGAGGCUCUUUGUCUACCUUAUCAAUAUGCAAUAAAGUUUGGCUGCAGAAGAAUCCUGUGUUCUGUGCGUGUUCUUGCUGGCAAGGACAAUAGCGCGGGACAUUUAGCGCCGAAACCCGGGAACACCUCACCAUCGCCCGGUGCUGAGGGGGCACUCCGCUCCAUGGAGAGCAUUCAGAACUGUAGGACAAAGGAAACUGGUCAGAAAAAUUUGGCGAGACUCUCGAGUCUUCGAGGGCAGCAGUGUUGGCUAUCAACUCAACACGAGUGGAGCUGUUGCUGACGGAGGGACUCUCUUCCUGGAUUUCUUCAGUUUUUUUCUUACUUCAAAGAAUGGGUGGGAGUGGGUCUGUUUGGCGCAGCCCUGUGUUCUGGGUUAGUGUUCAUGCUAUGGUUGGUCUGCAAACUCAGAUCUCAACAGAGACGUGACAAGAUAGUGAUUACUCAAGCACUUACUGCUAUAGAGCAAGGCACCUCCCCUGAAAUCUGGUUAUCCAUGCUAAAAUGACCUCGCAAGCACUAGACUACUCAGCUCAUGCACCCCCUAGAGGCUAGACUCAUUGCACAGGGAUGAGUGAGUAGGUUUUUGACUCUUAUGGAUUGUUGGACUAAGCCCCACAUAGGACUUGCUCAAAGAUUCGAGUAAUCUCAGAAGACAAGUCGAAUUGCAUGAGGGUUGAGUGUCCAAGUGUCCCUCCCCUAGGAAAAACGGCACGAGUGCAGGUCAGAACGACCCUGGGAAAAGGAGCCUAAGGGCCUUGUUCUGUACAUGGCGCUCUAUUUUUGUCUUACUAGGGAUUCGACCUCUAUCUUCAUCCAUUAAAGAGGGACUUGCAUUCUAAUAAAACUAAAAGGGGGAGAUGUGGAGAGCUGCGAUAACAUUUGCCAUCACUAGAUGGCGCUGGCUUCCACAGUGUCUUAUGCCACCUAAAAAAGAACAAGCCAUGUGCACAUGUGCAAGAGUAAUGCGCGCCAAGUCAUAGCCCAACCUGGGGCGUGUCUAUGAGAUCAUGGGUAAGCGACCAGUCAGGCGUGGACACGCCAUGCCAGGGUGUAUAUAAGCAGCGCCUUUCUGAGGCUCUUUGCCUACCUCAUCAAUAUGCAAUAAAGUUUGGCUGCAGAAG